rnacentral:rRNA from 1 species
GAGUGUGAUGAUUCAUAGUAAUCGAACGAAUCGCAGGUAUAUGCGAUAAGUCACUCAAGUUCCUGCCCUAUCAGCUUUGGAUGGUAGUGUAUUGGACUACCAUGGCAGUCACGGGUAACGGAGAAUUAGGGUUCGAUUCCGGAGAGGGAGCCUGAGAAACGGCUACCACAUCUACGGAAGGCAGCAGGCGCGCAAAUUGCCCAAUCCCGACACGGGGAGGCAGUGACAAGAAAUAACAACUCUAGGAUUUCUUAGAAGUGUAAUGAGGAUAAUUUACAAACCUUACCGAAUGCAAUUGGAGGGCAAGUCUGGUGCCAGCAGCCGCGGUAAUUCCAGCUCCAAUAGCGUAUAUUAAAGUUGUUGCAGUUAAAAAGCUCGUAGUUGAAGUUCUGAUCGUUCAGGUCCUCAGCCUUAGGCGGGGAUUCUGACGGUCAUCCGCUUGCAAACAUAUGUUCGAUCUUCACCGGUUGGCUAUGUGAGUAAGCAAUUUACCUUGAGAAAAACAGAGUGUUCCAGGCAGGUUUGUCCGGAACGCAUUAGCAUGGAAUAAUAGAACAUGACUGAAGUCUAUUUAUUGGUUUAAGGCUUUAGUAAUGAUUAAUAGGAACAGUCGGUGCAUUCGUACUCAGCAGUCAGAGGUGAAAUUCUAAGAUUUGCUGAAGACGAACUAAUGCGAAAGCAUUUGCCAAGGAUGUUUUCAUUAAUCAAGAACGAAAGUUAGGGGAUCAAAGACGAUCAGAUACCGUCCUAGUCUUAACUAUAAACGAUGCCGACUCGGAUUCGGAUGAAUCAAAAAGUUCAUUUGGGACCGUAGGAGAAAUCAAAGUCUUUGGGUUCUGGGGGGAGUAUGGUCGCAAGGCUGAAACUUAAAGGAAUUGACGGUUUUGCACCACCAUGGAGUGGAGUCUGCGGCUUAAUUUGACCCAACACUGGGAAACUCAUCAGGGCAAGAAGAUUUUAGGAUUGACAGAUUGAGAGUUCUUUCUUGAUUGGUCUAGUGGUGGUGCAUGGCCGUUCUUAGUUGGUGGAGUGAUUUGUCUGGUUAAUUCCGUUAACGAACGAGACCUUAACCUGCUAACUAGUGCUUCGAUCUCUAAUCGAAGGCACUUCUUAGAGGGACUAUGUGUGGUAAUCACAUGGAAGUUUGAGGCAAUAACAGGUCUGUGAUGCCCUUAGAUGUCCUGAGCUGCACGCGUACUACAAUGGCACUUUCAACAAGUCUUUCCUGAUCCGAAAGGAUUUGGGUAAUCUUUUUAGGGAGUGCCGUGCUUGGGAUAGAUCUUUGUAAUUGUGGAUCUUGAACUAGGAAUUCCU